rnacentral:rRNA from 1 species
UUUCCGUAGGUGAACCUGCGGAAGGAUCAUUGUCGAGACCCUAAAGAAAAUUGGAUGACUUUGGAUAACACGUGAACGAUUGACGGCGAUUGCUGUCUAUAAACACCAUCCAUCUUUUGUCACUUCUUUUGAUUGAAGUUGCAAUGAAAAGAUGGAAGGAAAAAUAACUCGGCACAGUUAUGUGCCAAGGAAGUAUGCUGCAUAGACAUCGAUGGCUAUUCGCCAAAGCCUGUGUGCUUUGCGGAGUGCUGUUGUUGUUUCUUAAGUAUUGUAUGACUCUCGACAAUGGAUAUCUUGGCUCUUGCAUCGAUGAAGAGCGCAGCGAAAUGCGAUACGUGGUGUGAAUUGCAGAAUCCCGUGAACCAUCAAGUCUUUGAACGCAAGUUGCGCCCGAGGCCAAUUGGCUAAGGGCACGUCCGCCUGGGCGUCAAGCAUUACAUCGCUUCAUUCGACACCAAUUGCCCAAUGCUGUGCAGUGGUGCCGAAUUGAAUGCGGAGAGUGGCCCUUCGCGCACACUUGUGCGGCGGGUUGAAGAACAGUUUGCUUUCCUCUGGCCAUGUUUUGAUAAAGGGGUGGUGUAUGCUGCCAUUUGGCCCACGCUAUCAUCUCAUUGUCUUGAGGAGGAUAUCUGUACACAUUCCUGGCUGUUCACCCGAUAAUGUCGUAGGUGGCGCCCUGAAAUGCGACCCCAGGAUGGGCGGGAUGACCCGCUGAGUUU